UUAUCAGUGAGGGAUAAUCCUGACCUGGAAGUUUCCUUAUUUGGAAACGACCAGUCAGAGAAGGAAUGAUGUAAUGGGCUUUAUGAGCUUGGAUUUAGGGAAUUUCCCUUACCACUGACUUAUAGCCAGCCUGGAGCAAGGGCUUGCAACACCCUUGCUACCAUUACUGAC